UAUAAAUGCGAAUAUUUGUUUGGAUAUGAUUUUUUGGAUUUUUUUACCCUUUUACGGCGAAACUAGUUUUAUUAAUCAAAAUUAUUUUUUAAAAAAUUUAAAUUAGACUAUUUAGGAGAACAUAUUGGUUACAUGGUCGGUGAGUACAUACCAGCUGCCAAUGCAUAAGAUUUCAUGUAUACUCAAUACAUACAUAAUUACAUUACCUAUAUUUACAUUUUUAAAUAUAGGUAAGACAAUGUAUUUUAAAUAAAACUAAAAAUUAUCUCAUUUAAAAUUCCAAAUUGUUGACGAUUUUUUGCUAUUUCAAUCUAAAAUUUGAAUAAUUUUUAUUAAAAAUACUAAUUUAUUUUUUUACAUUAUAUAUUAUUGUUUUUAGAAAAAAAAACACUUGUCAUUAAAGAUGAAAUCGAAGACGCGUGUAAGUUUGUUAUUAAUUAAAUUUGUUUAUAAAUUAAGGAACUAUUAUGGUGGCUCUCACUCUCUCAUAUAUCUGCAUAGUUUCAACCACAUUACAACAUUUAACAACAAAUUUAAUAAAUUAAUAUAUUAUUGUCUAUCUAAAAAGUGAUACGUGAUUUAGAUGGUAAGUGUAAACUUUGAAACAUAAAUUGCACCAAAAUAAAAAUUGAAAUACUUUAAUUUUCACAAAAAAUUAUCUUUUUUUGGAAAAUUUAAAAAAUAAUAAUUAUAUUUUUAUAUAAUAUUCUUCACUGGGUAUACAUUUUUCUAGUGAAAAGAGAGAGAUCUACAUUAUCCUACGACAGUUUUUUUUUUUUUUUUUGUUAUAUGUAUAAACGCUGAAACUCAAAAAUCAUAAUAAUAAAAAAAUCAAUCUUCGUACAAUAAGUACAAUGUCUAAAUGUGAGCCCCAUUUACCGAAUUUUUAAAAAUAUCUCCAAGUAGGUUUUAAGACAAAUAAAGUACAAACAAAACCAUAAUUAUUGCGAAUAUUGCAUCAUUAUAAUACUAAUUAUUGUUUUCAUAUUUAAUUGUUUUAAUUUUUCAAAUUAUGAAAUCAUUAUACCUUCACCUAAAAUAUACAUUUCAAAUAAAGUUUUUAUAAAUGUUUUAUUUUCUUAUUAAAAUGUUUAUUAUUAUCUUGAUCAUAUCAUAUUUUAUACAUUCGUCAAAAGACAUGAAAAACUACGCAG